UCGUCAUGACAACUACUUAGGACACCUUUGGAUCAACCAAUGAAAACACACGAAAGCUCUGAGCGAC